rnacentral:rRNA from 1 species
GAUCAUGGCUCAGGACGAACGCUGGCGGCGUGCCUAACACAUGCAAGUCGAACGGAGAUAUGUUUUGGAAGGGCUUCGGUCUGGAAGAGAUAUAUUUUAGUGGCGGACGGGUGAGUAACGCGUGGGCAAUCUGUCUUGUAGAAAGGGAUAACAGGCCGAAAGGCUUGCUAAUACCGGAUGAGCUUGUCUAAUCGCAUGAUAAGACAAGGAAAGGGGAAACCCGCUACAAGAUGAGCCUGCGU